CACGUAGGGACCAAGCGUUGUCCGGAAUCAUUGGGCGUAAAGAGCGUGUAGGCGGCUUGUUAAGUCUUGCGUGAAAUCUCGGGGCUCAACCCCGAGCGGUCGUGAGAAACUGGCAGGCUAGAGUGCGGGAGAGGAGAGUGGAAUUCCUGGUGUAGCGGUGAAAUGCGCAGAUAUCAGGAGGAACACCGGUGGCGAAGGCGCCCACUCUGGGCCGGUACUGACGCUGAGGAGCGAAAGCGUGGGUAGCAAACAGG
rnacentral:rRNA from 1 species